CCUACGGGUGGCAGCAGUGGGGAAUAUUGGGCAAUGGGCGCAAGCCUGAUCCAGCAACGCCGCGUGAAGGAAGAAGGCUUUCGGGUUGUAAACUUCUUUCGUCAGGGAAGAGUAGAAGACGGUACCUGACGAAUAAGCCACGGCUAACUACGUGCCAGCAGCCGCGGUAAUACGUAGGUGGCAAGCGUUGUCCGGAUUUACUGGGUGUAAAGGGCGGGUAGCCGGGUUGACAAGUCAGAUGUGAAAUCCUGCGGCUUAACCGCAGAACUGCAUUUGAAACUGCUGAUCUUGAGUACUGGAGAGGCAGACGGAAUUCCGAGUGUAGCGGUGAAAUGCGUAGAUAUUAGGAGGAACACCAGUGGCGAAGGCGGUCUGCUGGACAGCAACUGACGGUGAGGCGCGAAAGCGUGGGGAGCAAACAGGAUUAGAUACCCGGGUAGUC
rnacentral:rRNA from 1 species